GACGAACGCUGGCGGCGUGCCUAAUACAUGCAAGUAGGACGCAGUUGCGAACGGGUGAGUAACGCGUAGGUAACUACCUAUUAGAGGGGGAUAACUAUUGGAAACGAUAGCUAAUACCGCAUACUAGUAGAUGGACCUGCGUUGUAUUAGCUAGUAGGUAGGGUAAUGGCCUACCUAGGCAACGAUACAUAGCCGCCCGGAGAGGGUGACCGGCCCAACGGGGACGGAGACAAGGGCCAGACUCCUACGGGAGGCAGCAGUAGGGAAUCUUCGGCAAUGGGGGGAAACCUGACCGAGCAACGCCGCGUGAGUGAAGAAGGUUUUCGGAUCGUAAAACUCUGUUGUUAGAGAAGCGGUAUCUAACCAGAAAGCCACGGCUAACUACGUGCCAGCAGCCGCGGUAAUAC
rnacentral:rRNA from 1 species